rnacentral:rRNA from 1 species
GAGCGAAAAAAAUGUUUACAAUGCCUAGAUUUAGUCAGAUCCAACUCAAGGGAUUUUAUAGGUUUAUUAAUCAAGCCUUGGCAGAAGAACUCGACAAGUCUUCAACAAUUAAAAAUCCAGAUAACGAAAUUCAAUUAUACUCUCUCUGUAUCGAAAUACAUGUCGCUGGAGUAG